rnacentral:rRNA from 1 species
GUACCAGACUCCUACGGGAGGCAGCAGUGGGGAAUAUUGCGCAAUGGGCGAAAGCCUGACGCAGCGACGCCGCGUGAGGGAUGAAGGUCUUCGGAUCGUAAACCUCUGUCAGCAGGGAAGAACGGUCACUGUGCUAAUCAGCAGUGAAUUGACGGUACCUGCAAAGGAAGCACCGGCUAACUCCGUGCCAGCAGCCGCGGUAAUACGGAGGGUGCGAGCGUUAAUCGGAAUUACUGGGCGUAAAGCGCUCGUAGGCGGUAUGUCAAGUCAAGGGUGAAAUCCCCGCGCUCAACGUGGGAACUGCCUUUGAAACUGUUUUUCUUGAGUACUGGAGAGGCAGACGGAAUUCCUAGUGUAGCGGUGAAAUGCGUAGAUAUUAGGAGGAACACCAGUGGCGAAGGCGGUCUGCUGGACAGCAACUGACGCUGAGGCGCGAAAGCGUGGGGAGCAAACAGGAUUAGAUACCCCGGUA